rnacentral:rRNA from 1 species
UAUGGAUCCUUCUACGGAGAGUUUGAUCCUGGCUCAGGAUGAACGCUAGCGACAGGCCUAACACAUGCAAGUCGAGGGGCAGCGGGAUUGAAGCUUGCUUUAAUUGCCGGCGACCGGCGCACGGGUGCGUAACAGGUGUGCAAUCUGUCCAUAGUCGGGGAAUAGCCCAGCGAAAGUUGGAUUAAUGCUCCAUGUGAAUCGAGACCGCAUGAUCUUGAUUUGAAACGUAAGGACUAUGGGUGAGCACGCUUCUGAUUAGAUAGUUGGUGAGGUAACGGCUCACCAAGUCGACGAUCAGUAGGGGUUCUGAGAGGAAGGUCCCCCACAUUGGAACUGAGACACGGUCCAAACUCCUACGGGAGGCAGCAGUGAGGAAUAUUGGUCAAUGGGCGAGAGCCUGAACCAGCCAAGUCGCGUGAAGGAUGAAGGUUCUAGGGAUUGUAAACUUCUUUUGUCCGAGGGUAAAAAAGGCUACGUGUAGCUUCUUGCAAGUAUCGGACGAAUAAGCAUCGGCUAACUCCGUGCCAGCAGCCGCGGUAAUACGGAGGAUGCGAGCGUUAUCCGGAUUUAUUGGGUUUAAAGGGUGCGUAGGUGGUUUGUUAAGUUUGUGGUGAAAGCGUGCGGCUCAACCGUACCAAGCCAUGAAAACUGGCGAACUUGAGUGCAAACGAGGUAGGCGGAAUGUGAUGUGUAGCGGUGAAAUGCUUAGAUAUGUCACAGAACCCCGAUUGCGAAGGCAGCUUACCAGCAUGCAACUGACACUGAGGCACGAAAGCGUGGGUAUCAAACAGGAUUAGAUACCCUGGUAGUCCACGCAGUAAACGAUGAAUACUAGCUGUUGGCGAUAUAAUGUCAGCGGUACAGCGAAAGUGUUAAGUAUUCCACCUGGGGAGUACGCCGGCAACGGUGAAACUCAAAGGAAUUGACGGGGGCCCGCACAAGCGGAGGAACAUGUGGUUUAAUUCGCUGAUACGCGAGGAACCUUACCCGGGCUUGAAAGUUAGUGACGGCGGAUGAAAGUCUGCUUCCUUCGGGGCACGAAACUAGGUGCUGCAUGGUUGUCGUCAGCUCGUGCCGUGAGGUGUCGGCUUAAGUGCCAUAACGAGCGCAACCCUUGCCGUUAGUUGCCAGCGGGUGAUGCCGGGAACUCUAGCGGGACUGCUACUGUAAGGUAGAGGAAGGUGGGGAUGACGUCAAAUCAGCACGGCCCUUACGUCCGGGGCGACACACGUGUUACAAUGGUAGGUACAGAGGGUUGCUACCCCGCGAGGGGAUGCUAAUCUCCUAAAACCUAUCUCAGUUCGGAUCGGAGUCUGCAACUCGACUCCGUGAAGCUGGAUUCGCUAGUAAUCGCGCAUCAGCCAUGGCGCGGUGAAUACGUUCCCGGGCCUUGUACACACCGCCCGUCAAGCCAUGGAAGCUGGGGGUACCUAAAGUCUGCAACCGCAAGGAGCGGCCUAGGGUAAAACUGGUAACUGGGGCUAAGUCGUAACAAGGUAGCCGUACCCGGAAGGUGGGAUCCAUA